rnacentral:misc_RNA from 1 species
UUAACUAUUAUAUAGUACUCAGACGACACUAACAUUCAGAGUUUGGGGUCCUCUGGCGGGCGCUUACCAGCGGGAGCCGGUAGCCAGACCGAGGCCUGACGGCCCGCCAAAGCAACAAAGGUAAUGAUAACACAGGGUGGGAGGUCUACCCCGAAGGGCAUGAACUCGGUAAUGAUCCCUCCGCAGGUUCACCUACGGAGA